GAAAUUAAACCUGAUAAGUUGUUGCUGGUUCUCUAGGGAGCAUGUGCACACUUGUCAUUUUUGUAUUUCCACCUGUGCACUUUUUGUAGACCUGAGUAUCUCUCUGUAUGCUUAGCCAUUCAGGAAUGAGGAUUGACUUUCAGUCUCUUCCUUACAUUUUCAGGUCUAUGUUUCUUCAUAUACCCUAUGUAUGUUUAUAGAGUGUUGUUAAUGGGCCUUUGUGCCUAUAAACCUAUACAACUUUCAGCAACGGAUCUCUUGGCUCU
rnacentral:misc_RNA from 1 species